rnacentral:rRNA from 1 species
AGUGAACGCUGGCGGCGUGGUUUAGGCAUGCAAGGUCGAACGCGAACGUACCUUCGGGUGCUAGUAGAGUGGCGUAAGGGUGAGUAAAGUAUAGGCAACGUACCCCUUGGGACUGGGAUAGCUGCGGGAAACUGCAGGUAAUACCAGAUGGUCAAGCGAUGUGGCAUCACAAUGCUUGUAAACGGUUGGAUACUUCUGCCAAGGGAGCGGCCUAUGCCCUAUUAGCUUGUUGGUGAGGUAAUGGCUCACCAAGGCGACGAUGGGUAGCCGGACUGAGAGGUUGGCCGGUCACACUGGGACUGAGACACUGCCCAG